rnacentral:rRNA from 1 species
UACGGAAGGCAGCAGUGGGGAAUAUUGCACAAUGGGCGCAAGCCUGAUGCAGCCAUGCCGCGUGUAUGAAAAAGGCCUUCGGGUUGUAAAGUACUUUCAGUCGUGAGGAAGGUGUUAAGGUUAAUAACCUUAGCAAUUGACGUUAGCGACAGAAGAAGCACCGGCUAACUCCGUGCCAGCAGCCGCGGUAAUCGGAGGGUGCGAGCGUUAAUCGGAAUUACUGGGCGUAAAGGGCACGCAGGCGGUUAAUUAAGUUGGAUGUGAAAUCCCCGGGCUUAACCUGGGAAUGGCAUUCAAGACUGGUUAGCUAGAGUCUUGUAGAGGGGGUAGAAUUCCAUGUGUAGCGGUGAAAUGCGUAGAGAUGUGGAGGAAUACCGGUGGCGAAGGCGGCCCCUGGACAAAGCUGACGCUCAUAUGCGAAAGCGUGGGGAGCAAACAGGGAUUAGAU